UACGGGGGGGGCAAGCGUUGUUCGGAAUUACUGGGCGUAAAGGGCUCGUAGGCGGCCAACUAAGUCAGACGUGAAAUCCCUCGGCGUAACCGGGGAACUGCGUCUGAUACUGGAUGGCUAGAGGUUGGGAGAGGGAUGCGGAAUUCCAGGUGUAGCGGUGAAAUGCGUAGAUAUCUGGAGGAACACCGGUGGCGAAGGCGGCAUCCUGGACCAAUUCUGACGCUGAGGAGCGAAAGCCAGGGGAGCAAACGGG
rnacentral:rRNA from 1 species